AACGCACAUUGCGCCCGCUAGUAUUCUGGCGGGCAUGCCUGUUCGAGCGUCAUUUCAACCCUCAAACCCCCGGGUUUGGUGUUGGAGAUCGGCAUGAGUCCUUCGGGGCGACGCCGUCUCCCAAAUAUAGUGGCGGUCUCGCUGUAGCUUCCUAUGCGUAGUAGCACACCUCGCACUGGAAAACAACGUGGCCACGCCGUUAAACCCCCAACUUUCUGAAGUUUGACCUCGAAUCAGGUAGGAUUACCCGCUGAACUUAA
rnacentral:misc_RNA from 1 species